UUUAUGGAGAGUUUGAUCCUGGCUCAGGAUGAACGCUGGCGGCGUGCCUAAUACAUGCAAGUCGAGCGAACGGACGAGAAGCUUGCUUCUCUGAUGUUAGCGGCGGACGGGUGAGUAACACGUGGAUAACCUACCUAUAAGACUGGGAUAACUUCGGGAAACCGGAGCUAAUACCGGAUAAUAUUUUGAACCGCAUGGUUCAAAAGUGAAAGACGGUCUUGCUGUCACUUAUAGAUGGAUCCGCGCUGCAUUAGCUAGUUGGUAAGGUAACGGCUUACCAAGGCAACGAUGCAUAGCCGACCUGAGAGGGUGAUCGGCCACACUGGAACUGAGACACGGUCCAGACUCCUACGGGAGGCAGCAGUAGGGAAUCUUCCGCAAUGGGCGAAAGCCUGACGGAGCAACGCCGCGUGAGUGAUGAAGGUCUUCGGAUCGUAAAACUCUGUUAUUAGGGAAGAACAUAUGUGUAAGUAACUGUGCACAUCUUGACGGUACCUAAUCAGAAAGCCACGGCUAACUACGUGCCAGCAGCCGCGGUAAUACGUAGGUGGCAAGCGUUAUCCGGAAUUAUUGGGCGUAAAGCGCGCGUAGGCGGUUUUUUAAGUCUGAUGUGAAAGCCCACGGCUCAACCGUGGAGGGUCAUUGGAAACUGGAAAACUUGAGUGCAGAAGAGGAAAGUGGAAUUCCAUGUGUAGCGGUGAAAUGCGCAGAGAUAUGGAGGAACACCAGUGGCGAAGGCGACUUUCUGGUCUGUAACUGACGCUGAUGUGCGAAAGCGUGGGGAUCAAACAGGAUUAGAUACCCUGGUAGUCCACGCCGUAAACGAUGAGUGCUAAGUGUUAGGGGGUUUCCGCCCCUUAGUGCUGCAGCUAACGCAUUAAGCACUCCGCCUGGGGAGUACGACCGCAAGGUUGAAACUCAAAGGAAUUGACGGGGACCCGCACAAGCGGUGGAGCAUGUGGUUUAAUUCGAAGCAACGCGAAGAACCUUACCAAAUCUUGACAUCCUUUGACAACUCUAGAGAUAGAGCUUUCCCCUUCGGGGGACAAAGUGACAGGUGGUGCAUGGUUGUCGUCAGCUCGUGUCGUGAGAUGUUGGGUUAAGUCCCGCAACGAGCGCAACCCUUAAGCUUAGUUGCCAUCAUUAAGU
rnacentral:rRNA from 1 species